rnacentral:rRNA from 1 species
UACGUAGGGUGCGAGCGUUGUCCGGAAUUAUUGGGCGUAAAGAGCUCGUAGGCGGUCUGUCGCGUCGGUCGUGAAAUCCCGAGGCUCAACCUCGGGUCUGCAGUCGAUACGAGCAAACUAGAGUGUUGCAGGGGAGACUGGAAUUCCUGGUGUAGCGGUGAAAUGCGCAGAUAUCAGGAGGAACACCGGUGGCGAAGGCGGGUCUCUGGGCAACAACUGACGCUGAGGAGCGAAAGCGUGGGGAGCGAACAGG